AAUCUCGAAAAUAAAAGAUUUAAAUAAUUUUUUUAGUUUUUGUUUCAAUAAAAUUAAUCAAAUUUAUUUAGGGGUGAAAUGCCAGUCGAUUUUAUUUAUAUCUAGUAACUUUGGAAAUAAAUUUAGUUUGGGAUAUUAAGAGUUUCUUAAUUUUUUUAUAUUUAUAUAUUUUAGGGGAUGAGCUCUAAAAUAAAUUUACAAGAAUAGAUUUGUAGGUUUUUAUAUUAAGCUUAGAACUAGCUACUGGAUAAUGUUAUAAAACAGAAAAUUUCAGGUUAUGAUUUAAAUUUUUCUUUCAAAGAAACAAAGUUAUUAAAGAUAAUGAAAAUUUUUAAGAAUAAAUGAUAGUAUUAGUAGAAAUUAAUAUAAAAUUUCCUUAAAUUAAUUUAUUUAGAAAUAAUAUUAAAAGAAUUCGGCAAAUUAGAUUUCCGAAUGUUUAACAAAAACAUUUCUUCUUAGUAUAAGAAGUAAGACCUGCUCACUGAGUAUUUAAAGAGCCGCAGUAUUUUGACUGUGCUAAGGUAGCAUAAUCAUUAGUCUUUUAAUUAAGGACUGGUAUGAAGGGUUAAACGAGAAAUCAACUUUUUUUAAUAUAUAAAUUGAAUUUAACUUUUUAGUGAAAAGGCUAAAAUAAUUUAGAAAGACGAGAAGACCCUAUAGAGUUUAAUAUAUAAAAUAUUUACAUUUUUAUUAGAUUUAUAAAAAUAUGUAUUUAUAAUAUAUAUUUUGUUGGGGCGACAUUAAGAUAAGAGAAACUCUUUAUUUUUGAAACUUUUAUAAAAGAAUGAAGUUUGAUCCUUUAAAAAAGAUCAUAAGAAAAAAUUACCUUAGGGAUAACAGCGUAAUCUUUUUUGAGAGUUCUAAUCGACAAAAAGGUUUGCGACCU
rnacentral:rRNA from 1 species